rnacentral:rRNA from 1 species
UACGUAGGGUGCGAGCGUUGUCCGGAAUUAUUGGGCGUAAAGAGCUUGUAGGUGGUUUGUCGCGUCUGCUGUGAAAAUCCGAGGCUCAACCUCGGACUUGCAGUGGGUACGGGCAGACUAGAGUGUGGUAGGGGAGACUGGAAUUCCUGGUGUAGCGGUGGAAUGCGCAGAUAGUCAGGAGGAACACCGAUGGCGAAGGCAGGUCUCGUGGGCCGAUUACUGACCACUGAGAAGCGAAAGCAUGGGGAGCGAACAGG